AACGAACGCUGGCGGCGUGCCUAACACAUGCAAGUCGAGCGGGAAAGUUCCCUUCGGGGAGCGAGUACAGCGGCGAACGGGUGAGUAACACGUAGGUAACCUACCCUGGAGACUGGGAUAACCUGCCGAAAGGCGGGCUAAUACUAGAUAAGACCACGAGGGCUGCGGUCCUUGCGGGAAAAGGUGGCCUCUACUUGUAAGCUACCACUUCAGGAUGGGCCUGCGCGCCAUUAGCUAGUUGGUGAGGUAACGGCUCACCAAGGCCGAGAUGGCUAGCUGGUCUGAGAGGAUGGCCAGCCACACUGGGACUGAGACACGGCCCAGACUCCUACGGGAGGCAGCAGUGGGGAAUCUUGCGCAAUGGGCGAAAGCCUGACGCAGCGACGCCGCGUGGGUGAUGAAGGCCUUCGGGUCGUAAAGCCCUGUCAAGAGGGACGAAACCUCGCCGACCUAAUAUGUCGGCGACCUGACGGUACCUCUGAAGGAAGCACCGGCUAACUCCGUGCCAGCAGCCGCGGUAAUACGGAGGGUGCGAGCGUUGUUCGGAAUUACUGGGCGUAAAGCGCGUGUAGGCGGCCUCCUCAGUCUGGUGUGAAAGCCCGGGGCUCACCCCCGGAAGUGCAUUGGAUACUGGGAGGCUGGAGUACCGGAGAGGAGGGUGGAAUUCCUGGUGUAGCGGUGAAAUGCGUAGAUAUCAGGAGGAACACCGGUGGCGAAGGCGGCCCUCUGGACGGAUACUGACGCUGAGACGCGAAAGCGUGGGGAGCAAACAGGAUUAGAUACCCUGGUAGUCCACGCCGUAAACGAUGGGCACUAGGUGUUCGGGGUAUUGACCCCCUGAGUGCCGCAGCUAACGCAUUAAGUGCCCCGCCUGGGGAAUACGGCCGCAAGGUUAAAACUCAAAGGAAUUGACGGGGGCCCGCACAAGCGGUGGAGCAUGUGGUUUAAUUCGACGCAACGCGAAGAACCUUACCUGGGCUAGACAUCUCCUGAAUUACCCGUAACUGGGGAAGCUCUUCGGAGCAGGAAGACAGGUGGUGCAUGGUUGUCGUCAGCUCGUGUCGUGAGAUGUUGGGUUAAGUCCCGCAAUGAGCGCAACCCUUAUCGUUAGUUGCUACCAUUAAGUUGAGCACUCUAGCGAGACUGCCCGGGUUAACCGGGAGGAAGGUGGGGAUGACGUCAAAUCAUCAUGCCCCUUAUGUCUAGGGCUACACACGUGCUACAAUGGUGAGGACAAAGAGACGCAAGACCGCGAGGUGGAGCAAAUCUCACAAACCUCAUCCCAGUUCGGAUUGCAGGCUGAAACUCGCCUGCAUGAAGCCGGAGUUGCUAGUAAUCGCGAAUCAGCAUGUCGCGGUGAAUACGUUCCCGGGCCUUGUACACACCGCCCGUCACACCAUGAGAGUUGGCAAUACCCGAAGUCCGUGGGGUAACCGUAAGGAGCCAGCGGCCGAAGGUAGGGUCAGCGAUUGGGGUGAAGUCGUAACAAGGUAGCC
rnacentral:rRNA from 1 species